rnacentral:rRNA from 1 species
UGCGUAGGCGGAAAAUUAAGUCAGUGAUGAAAUCCUGCAGCUCAACUGUAGAACUGUCAUUGAUACUGAUUUUCUUGAAUUUAGUUGAGGUAGGCGGAAUGUGUAAUGUAGCGGUGAAAUGCUUAGAUAUUACACAGAACACCGAUUGCGAAGGCAGCUUACUAAGCUAACAUUGACGCUGAGGUACGAAAGCGUGGGGAGCGAACCGGAUUAGAUACCCGAGUAGUCC